rnacentral:rRNA from 1 species
GGGGAAUAUUGCACAAUGGGCGAAAGCCUGAUGCAGCAACGCCGCGUGAGUGAUGACGGUCUUCGGAUUGUAAAGCUCUGUCUUUUGGGACGAUAAUGACGGUACCAAAGGAGGAAGCCACGGCUAACUACGUGCCAGCAGCCGCGGUAAUACGUAGGUGGCAAGCGUUGUCCGGAUUUACUGGGCGUAAAGGGAGCGUAGGUGGAUAUUUAAGUGGGAUGUGAAAUACUCGGGCUUAACCUGGGUGCUGCAUUCCAAACUGGAUAUCUAGAGUGCAGGAGAGGAAAGUAGAAUUCCUAGUGUAGCGGUGAAAUGCGUAGAGAUUAGGAAGAACAUCAGUGGCGAAGGCGGCUUUCUGGACUGUAACUGACGCUGAGGCAUGAAAGCGUGGGGAGCAAAC